CCAAAACCAAGACCUGAAUCCUGCGUGCUGU
rnacentral:piRNA from 1 species